rnacentral:lncRNA from 1 species
UUUCAAAUUACAAAACUUGAGGGCAAGUUUUGAAACUAUUCAAAACUAAUUAAUUCCAUAACUUAUGUGUUUAAAGUAGUUUUAAUCCAAAAACUCUUCAAGUUCCAUAACUUGAGGACAAGUUAUGGAAGACUUUAAACUAGUAAAAGAACUAACUUUUUCUUUAUUUUAUAACUUAUGGAUUUAAUUAUGGUUACAUAUUUUUCUUUUAAUGAAGUGACUCUUGAACUUCCAUAACUUGAGGACAAGUUAUGGAGUCAUAAAAAUUAUUCAAUGACACAAGACUCUUCAUUUUGUAACCAUUGCCAACUCUUAUGAAUUUUAUGAGUCUUUAAUGUGACUCUUCAUGUAACUUGAGGACAAGUUACACAAACACAUUUUAUACUCAACUCUUAGAUUAAAAUGGAUUGAAAACAACUAUUNUUGAAAAACAGCUUAGGGUAAUGUUCCUAGUCCAAUUCCAGCCAAAAAGUCGAAGAUAUGAUGUUCGGGGGUCCAACUCGUCGAGUGCACGAACCAACUCGACGAGUUGGAUGCAUUUUUCCUUGGACUCGUCGAGUCCCUCCAAGGACUCGGCGAGUCUGCUGUCCAGACAGCAUACAAACUUCGAUUUUUAGCCAAUUUUGCAAGUAUAACAAGAAAACAAGCCUAGGCUCUGAUACCAUUGUUGGGUUUUGAGCAUUCUAACACUCCUAUGGUGUACAUGCAACCCUAGAAACCUUGGAUCUAUUUUUUAUCUAUGAUACAUGCAAAAUUGAUUUUUCCAAGGUUCUUAACCUAUCUAGCAUACAAGAGAACUCUUAAUCAUAAAAGAUAGUAAGAAAACAUACCUUGUAGUGCUUUGGAUUCCUUUCAGAAACUUGUGAGCCUAGCACCCCAAGUGUGAUGCCUCAAAUGUCUCACACAACACCAAAUGCACUUGGAAUAAACCUUGAGAGAAAUGUCACACUCUUGAAAUCGGUUAGCCCUCUUCUUACUUGCUUAAAAACUGAUUUUGGUGAUCAACAUAUUGCUUAUAUAGUGUGUCAUAAUUAGGGUUACACCAUGUAAACCCUAAUUUGACAUGGCUCUUCAUUUCCAUGAUCCAUGGGUUCAAAGACACCAUGGAGCAUCCUAUGGGUUUUAGCCCAACUUGAUAAUCCAUGGAGCAGAAGCCCACUAUACAAGUAUGGAUGAUUUACACAAUCAACCCGUAUAUUUAAUUAGUCUUCUUUUGAUCACUUAAUUAAUUCUUAAUCAAUACUAAGUAAAUAAUCCUAUUAAUAUAUUAGAACUUAUAAUAUAUUAAUAAACCAUAAGUGUUAUUUCUCUCAUUUUAGUCUAUCCAAAUGCAUGAUGCCAUGCAACCCAAAUGGACCAUGCUGAUCGGGUCAAGUACAUCCCAGAAUAGUUAUGAACUUAGACACCUAAUCCAACAUAAACUCUCGUUAUCCCAUGAUGACCGUCGUUUGACUGACAAGCUAGGGGUGUAGGGUCCAACACCUCACCGAAAACGAGUAAUGGAAAACGAGCACUGAUGUGGCCCUCUUGUCUGCAAUGGAAACAAUUCCGUGAAGUCUGCCUGCAAUUACUACCCAAAUGACCCUCACCGCCACAUCUGAGACAUACAAUAGGUCGAAACCUUCCAUUAUGAAACUUCCUGCACCCGCUACACUUGAAACUCCUCCCCUUAGCUGAUCAUGAACCUGGGUAGGCAGACUUAACCCACUUGGCCGCCAAUUCAUAUUGUCUUGAAGUUGUUCCCUCAUCCUUCUGAUGAAUCUCCAACUCAAUCUCCCUCCUCCUGGCGCUUGACUACAUCUCGGUCAAGGUCUGGUGCUGCUGAGUAGAUAAAAACUCUCGAAUCUCCGUCUUGAUCAUACUCAAGUAUCACGACAUAUGUGCCUGCUCUGAAGCGGCGUACUCAGGGUAAAAAAGAGCUCUAUCCAUCAACUUCUUGGUGAUCUCCGUCAGCAACUCAGUUGUCUUCUCGAGCAACAGAUACUCCUGUUACAGUCGCUCAUGCUCCACAAGACAAACAUACUCCACUCGGAAAGUAUCCAGAAACUUCUCCCAAGUCACUGCUGCUCGCUCGGCGUACGAAAAUCUCUAGGUCACAAACUCCCACCAAUCCUUCGCACCCUAACGAAGAAGAUUCAACGAAAAUUUCACAUUCUAUCCAUCGAGACAUGAACAUGUGAAGAAACAUACCUCCACUUCAUAAAUCCAUCUCAAAGCGAUGAUCAGGUCCCUAUCGCCUCUAAACUCUGGAAGCUUCGUUUAACUAAACUCUCGGUAAUGCAUCACCUCGCCUUCCUGAAAUCUUGCAAUGGCGAAGACUGUUGUGGCUGCGGCAGUAGCUAUCUGCAUGACGGAGGCAUAACUCCAGUGAAACUCCUCAAUCAACGUGGUCUUGAUUGACCCAAACAACUCCGAAAUCACCUCCCUGUACACCUCGGCCACUUCGGCAACAAUGAUCUCGUGGAUUUCCUCCUCACCCAUACCUGCUCUCGCAGUGCAUCAACUCCUAAUCCUGAACCUUCAAAAGUCGCCAUACUUAAAAUACACCAUGGAAAGAUCAAUCAUCAAAACAUUAUGCUCAAUACACCAUGCUACCCCCUAUUAGUUCCUUAGUAACCUCAAGAUUACUCCCAAAUCUCAUACAUAUCCUAUGCUUUCAAUAGUACGGGCCCAUACUACCUUCCACACCUAUCCGUAGUUGAUUCAGAAUUCAUCCCAAGAUUCUAAGUCACUGUACUAUACCACUCCUAGGUUUUUCUAACACCUACUUCUCCUACAAUCUACACCUAACUUCCUAGGACCAUCCCCGCCCCCGCACUACUGGUUGCUUUUAUGCACGCUUGUUAUACACAAUACCGGGUCAGAUAGACUGUCGAAUAAUCGACUCUGCCCUAAGUCCACAACUAAAAAUGGAAUAGGAAGUAAGGCUAAUUCAAUCAUUCUAAUGCUAUUUAAUCCCAACCAUAUAAAACUAAUCAACAUACACGUAGCAAUUAAAAAAUCAAUUAACAUAUAGCCUUACUUCCUGGUUGCUUUUGUGCAUUCUUGUUGUACACAAUAUGAGGUCAGAUAGACUAAUGAAUAAUUGACUAUACCCUAAGUCCACAACUAAACAAGGAACAAUAGGUAAGGCUAAUUCAAUCAUUCUAAGGCUAUUUAAUCCCAACCAUAUACAACUAAUCAACAUACAUGUAAUAAUCACAAAAAAGUAACAUAUAGCAAGCAAUUCCCUAUAUCAUAAGGCAUUAUUAAAUCAGGCACUUCUAUCCAACAGUUCCUAAAAGAACCUUAGCUUAUCCACUAGCAUGCUUUUUUAACAGUUUACUUAUAAAAAAAAUCAAAAGCUUAGCACAUAUAACAAGUAUGGAUAUUUUUGGGACCACUUUCAUGUUCGGGCUAUGGCUGACUGUACACACCGCGUAUUCCUGUAAACCAAAGUUAAGUUAAUGUUCACAUUCCCGAUCCCAAGCCGACAAUCAAACAAGAACAUGAAAAAAAAUACCUAGUCGAUGUCCCUUAUCAAACCCUUUAUUAUAAAUUCUUUUACAAAAACAUUUUGUGAAAAUUCUCGGAUCCUAGUUUGAGUCUGGAUUUACACAAGUGUUCCUCCAAUUCACUCAAAAUAGGGCUCUUAUACCAACUUGUAACGUCCCAUUUUCACAACCAAAAAAUUUCAUUUUAUAAAAGUAAAACUACCCAAUUAUAACUCUAUUAUGAAGAACUCCAUUUAUUCCAAAAUACAUUUAUUGAAAAUCAGAGUAAUAUUAAAGCAUAGAAUCUUCAUUGUUGUUGAUGAAUGUGUACAGUCAUGCCUUCUCCUUCCCAUGAUAACUGAGGAUACCUGAAACAAUAAACAAUUGGGUAAACACAAAGCUUAGUGACUUUCCCCCAAACUACCCCAUACGGUAAACAUACAAGCAUGCAUAAUGGCCCACAAUCAUUGGAUUAGAAUGCUCAGACCCCAUCUGUCAUCGGAGUGGAAUGCCAACAUGCAAUGGGUCCAACCAGUCAUCAGACUAGAAUACCCAUGGUUACUUGGCCUACUGCCUUAAUGCAACCACUCAUCUCGAGCCUUCGUGCUUACGGCUUACAUCUGGCCCACACUGGAUAUCUUGGCCUACAACACAAAGCAGGACCACCUCAACCCACUACCACCAUAUGUCGACAUAUAAACAAUCAAAUAUCAAGUAGGCAUAUAAUAUAGGCAAACAUCAAUCAUGCAGCCCACUAUCGCCUACUAGUCCUCUCACAGCACACUGUUAGCUAUGAGAUAUCCUCCAUGAAAUGCGUAACCAUAAGUAAUCAGAGGUGAGAUAGUCACUCGAAUAGAUGAUCCUACUCUAGAGCCACAACCAAACGAGGAACAUGCAAGAAAGCCUAGAUCAAGAGUUAUCAGGCUAUCUUACAUGACUACAUACAACCCCAAGAGCACUCCAAUAGAUGAUGACUAGCAAGUAUAUGUAGACAUACAGAUCUACAGAUCGCUACCGUAUAGCAACAUCCUAUAUACCAGAUAUGGAUCUAACAGAUCACUACAGCAUAUCAACAUCUUAUAUACAAGGAUACAAAUCUAACAAAUCGCUACCGUAUAGCAACAUCCUAUAUACCAGAUAUGGAUCUAACAGAUCACUACAGCAUAUCAACAUCUUAUAUACAAGGAUACAAAUCUAACAGAUCACCACAACAUAACAACAUCCUAUAUACCUGGAUACAAAUCUAACAAAUCACUAUAGCAUAACAACAUUUUAUAUACUAGGAUACAAAUCUAACAAAUCACUACAACAUAGCAACAUCCUAAAUACCAGGAUACAGAUCUAACAGAUCAUUGCAGCACAAUAACAUUCUAUAUAUCAUGAUACAUAUCUAACAGGUCACUAUAGCACAACAACAUCGUAUACACCAGGAUACCGAUCUAAAAAAUCACUACAACAUAGUAAUAUACUAAAUACCAACAAUCCAAGGAAUGCAUAACCAUAUAUAAUAAGAGGUGAGAUAGACAUCCUGACAGGUGUUCCUACUUUAGAGCCACAACUAAACGAGGAACAAGAAAGAAAUCCUAGAUCAAUAGUCCUCAGUUUAUCCUACAUGACUACAUACAAUCCUUAUGGCAUCCCUCCACUAAAAGAUAACCAAAACUAGUGGGUCGGCAUUGGUGCCUUCAACCCACGGGUACAAUGAGGCAAAACUCACUUGAAUCGAAGAACUCUGAAACACUACGAUAAAAUCCCUUUUUUGCAUUGCUUGCACCCGCAAAUCCGCUAAUUGCCACAAACAAGUAAAAUCUUAAUCACCAGUCAAACCCUCAAGUUUGACCUAAAGUAAAACUUGGUAAAAAAAUUCAAUGGUCAAUAGAAGUCAACAGUCAACAGUUCCUUACAACGUGACCAUUUAUGGCUCACGCCGUGAGCCAGUACAUGAAAAAAAUUUCGGAUCUCAUAAUCCUCACGACGUGAUAGGCAUAGCCUCACGUCGUGAGAUUAGUCUGAAUGCCAUUUUGAUCCAUAAACUUCUUAAUCCAUUAAGCCACUAAUUCAUCUUUUCCAAGAGGCUUCCUAACACCCCCAGGAUCAUAAAAGUUGAUGCUUUAAGGUCUUAUAUGUCCAAUAAUAUACUUGAGUUGAAACUAGGGCAUUCAUGAAGAAAAAGAAGAUCGCGUCUCAAGCAUGAACUCAAACAUCAACCAAACCUUAUACCCAUAACGUAUCAUCACCAAGGGACCCUAAGGAUCCAUAAAGUUGCUAACUUUAUGGAGUCCCAACACUCUAACUCUUGUAGCCAUGGAUAAACAUGCAUAAAACCUUAGAUCUACCAACAUGGAAACAAAGAUAUUGAAUCUUGGUUACUUAUAGUGGUCCAUAGGUGUUUCUAGAGGUUACAAAUGGAACUUCCAAGUUGAAUCUAUGCUUCAAUGGUGAUCUCUUCUUCUUCAAACCGCAAAAACUCCACCAAAAGCUCAAGAAUCACAAGGAAAGGCUAGGGUUAGGGGUUUUUUGUGCUUAAGGAUGAAUGUGACUAUUUUGGAACCCUGAAAUGAAGUUAUGGGAUUUAAAUAAGAAGGAAACCCUAAAAGAUCAUGGGCUUGGGUUGCAGCGCAUCUUACGUUGUGAGCUCUUAUUUCUCACGUCAUGAGCUCGUCAUAAUUCAACAUCUUCUUUUAAUGACUCCUCAUGUUGCGAACCCUCUAUGGUUACGUCGUGAUCCUUGGUUUUAUGAAAAAAACAUGUCUUUGACUCCUUGAAGCUCUAAAUCGAUCCGAUCGAGAAACCGGGUGUUAAAAUUUUGAUUAAAGUGCUUCUUUCUAACUCCAUUGGUUGGAUUUUCUUUAUAUUAUGAAGAUUUCUUAUUGAUAACCUAGACUUGCUUCAUAUUCCUUGGUUAUAGAGAUGGAUUCUUUAGAACCCAAAUCAUUUUUUUGUGGUCUUUGCUUUCUUUUAUUUGUUUGAUUUUACCUAUAAGAAGUAUUAUUAAAACAAGAACAUACAUCAUGAAGCUUACCAACAUGAGAUCUUUUGAUGUUUAGGGUUGGCGUUGUAGGUUGACUAUUGACAGGGUGACAUGGAGAGGCAACGUGAACUCUCUUUAUAGUGAGACUCGACUUGUCAUCAUGAACUGACCUGACAUUGUCUGAUGUCUUUACAGCUUGAGAUGGUUUAACAUUGCGAGAGGUGUUGGAAAUGCAAGAUUCCCUUGCAGUGUGAACAACCUUAUCAUGGUGAAUUGUUUUGACAGUAUCUGAUGUCUUGACAGCGUGGAAUUUCUCUACAAUGUGAGAUGAAGCUAAGGGAGUAGAUCAAUUACGAUUUGUAAUGAAUUCUCAAGAAGAUUUUCGAGAAUGAGUAGCUUGUGGUUUCUCAACAUGAAGCUUAUUAGUAUAUGAGUUGUUGUGAUCUUCAUUAGGGUGAAAACUAGGGUUUCUUGAAAACGAGAUUUCAUCAAGUAUUUAUUCUAUUUGAACACUAAUAGAUGAAAAACUUUUCAUCUGAACAUCCGUUUCUUUAAUCUUCUCUUUUAGAGCUAACAUCUCUAUCUCCCUUUCAACCAGAUUCUUCUUCAACACUUCUAUAUCUUCUUGUUUCUGAUUGAUGACUUUGUCUUUCAGAUCCAUUAUAGCUAUGAAGAAAAUAGAUAUAACUACCUUUGGAUCAUACAUCAGUUCAGAAAAAACAUGUUAAAGAACUUGCAUUGACUGCCCUUUUAUUUUUUGUACUUUCCUUGUUUUCUUCGUCAGAAAAAAACAUUUGUAUCUUUCUUGAUCAUUCCAAAUAAAAUAUCUUGUCUCUUCUAAGAGAUAUUAUAAGGUGUUGUAUUAGGUGGCUAAGCUCAUAACUAUAAUUGGUAUGUACUUGACCCGAAAGUAGCAUGGUCCUUUUGGGUUGCCUUCACCAGAAAAAUCUGAUAGGAUGGAUAUUUGAGAAAGAGAUUACUUGUCAUUUUUAAUAUAUUAUAAGUACAAUAUAUUAAUAUGAAAUCAUAUUUAAUUAGUAUUGAUCAAGAAUUAAUUUGGAAUUAAUUUUGUGAUAAAAAAAGACUAAUUAAAUUAACAGGGACUGAUUAUGUAAAUCGGUGAUAUAUAUAUAUANCUAUCAGAACAUGUCUCAUAGUAAGCUUUCCUUUGUCCUUGGCAUGUGGGCCAAGAUUAGGUAUACCAACACUAAUCACCUUUAACCCAUGUGUAAUUGGUUUUUCUUCUUCUUAACACUUCUAUUCACGAUAGUGAAUGGAUUAGGCUUUACCCAUGACUCUUGGAUUCCUACACUAUAUAUAUAUGACACCCCUUAGCCUAAAAUUGAGGACACUAGUAAUCUUGGAGAUACAAUAGCCGAAUUUAAGUGCCUAGAAGCGCUUUCUCAUUAUCCUCCAAUUGUUGGUGGUGUUUGUGACUUAUUAGAGACAUCACACUUGAGGUGUUAAGUUCUCAAAUGCCAAAAUUCAACAAGCUACAACAAGAGGUAAUAUUCUAACUUACUUUAUGAUUUAUAUGCCAAAUUGUACGCUAGUUGUAGGCUUCAUGCUUUGGGAAAUUUUAUUGCAUGUAUAACCAGAGAAAACUUAGAUCCAAAGCAUUUAGGGUUAUAUGUGCGCCAUAGGAUGUUGUAGUACAUCAAAACUAAUAGUGGUAUCUGAGCCAUGGGUUGUUUUAUGUUAUAUUGAUGCAUGCUUAAUUGUUCAAAGCUGGAAAAUUCAGUAAACUGCACUCUGCAAGGGGGACUCGACGAGUCGACUCAUGAACUCGGCGAGUUCAUAGUGAACUCGACGAGUCAGAUAAUUGUAGUUUUUCGAGGUUUUUGGCCAGAAUUGGAUUUGGAUCCUUACCUUAAACUGUUUUGUAUCAUAAAAUAUGUUUUUUUAUAUGGUAAUGGCUAUCCUCAUCCAAUUAAAAGAUAGUUGUCAAAAUUUUAAGAUAAUUGCCCUCAAGUUAUGGAAUAUGAGAAGUCUCAUUCAUGAAAAAAACAUUAACUCUUGUAAUUGAAAGGUUCAAAAGAUGCAACUCUUAGGUUCAUAACUUAAAAAUUAAUUAAACAGUUUUUAAUUUUGAGUUUUUAUAUUUAGAACCUUGAUGCUUUGACUAGUUUAAAUUACACCUUUAUGGAUUUCAUGUAAUUAAUUAAAGUGUAUAAUUAAAAGAGAUUAAUAAAUCCAUAAUCACAUGGUUCAAGUUUAAUUAAAUUAAGAGCAUAGUUUAAUUAUAUUAAACCACAAAGUAUUUUAAAAGUUUAAAAUACACCCUUAUACUAUAUAAAUUUAAAAGUUUAAUAUAUUAUAUAUGCAUUAGUAACAGGUCAGUCUUACCGUUAGUAGACCUCAUUCAUGAAGUCGGUCUAUAAGGGGGUAUAAGGAUACUUCCAAUAAAAUGGUGGUUUAAUGGGUGUCCACUCUCACCUACCGCUUCCUUGAAUGGUGGAGGGUUAUUAGCCAAACGGGUAGGAUAGGACAUUAAUUCUCAUUAAAAGUAUAAUGAUAAUUAUAAAGUAACUAAAUGUUUUAUAAAAUUCCCAAUCUUACUUACUUUAGGAAAAAUGUGAAUUUGGUGUUAAUCCAUGAAAUUGCACUUUGCACCUUGCCAAGUCGUUAGUGGAGCGUGUGUGGUUAACCGACAUACUAACUUGGACUAGUAAGGGUGGCAAAGGGUAGCUCGUAAUUUGUCAUAGAUCAAUGGAGUGUGUGUGGUUAACCGGCACAUUGAUUGGGCGAUAAAUGACAUUGAGAGUACCAAGCUAAUUUGCAUGGUUAUUCACACCUUGUUGGUGAUCCUCGGUAUCCCAGUCACAAACUUGAAGGGCAUAAUUGAGAUUAAACAUUCCAUUGAAAAGUUUAGUGAAUCUCAAAUAAUCUAGGAAUUUCAAUUCAUUUAAAACCUAAUAUUCAAUUUCGUUUUUCGUGAUGGACUUGGUAAAUCGUCAUUUACCUACCUUCAAAUAUUUUACAUUAGAUUACGACAUCCCUCUUUUGAAUUGUAGAAUAUAGUGUUGGGUCAUAGCCUUAAUAUUUAAUUUUGGGUGUCAUAUCAAGGACUUAAAUCAACUUAACUUGAAUUUCUCCCUUGUAGAUGUCUAGUUCAGACAACUAUGGUCUUCCUGAAUCUUAUGGAAAAAGCUUUCCUCAUGAAGAUGAUGUUCCCAUAAAUCAUACUUCACUUCCUCCACCUCCUCCAAUAAUUCUCCCUAACCCACAAUUUCGAAGACUUGAAAAGUUCAAGGUCACUCAAAACCUAUUGGCAAGCAAACACCAAGAUGGAAGGUUUGUGUGUGCACAUGUCUUGGAGAUGAAGCCACACAUUGACAGGCUGGGAAUGUUAGGAGUCGUUUUGUCGAUGAAGUUGGCUGUUGACUUAGUUCUUCAUUCACUUCCCGAGUCGUAGAGUCAGUUCGUUAAAGACUACUAUAUGACAGACCGCGACGUGGCCCUUAUUGAUCUUACCUAUUUUCUAAUUGCUGCUGAAUCAGAAAUGAUUUGGCGCACUAGUCAAGAAAAUUUGAAUUGAAGAUAUACCUGUUGUGUUUAGAGCAUUCUAACACUCCUAAGUGUACAUGAAACCCUAAAUACCUUGGAUCUAUGUUUUCUCUAUUAUACAUGCAAAUAUGAUCUUUCUAAGGUAUUCAUCCUAACUAGCAUAAUAACAUUGAUUCAAAUGAAUAUAUCAAGUUAGAAUUACAUACCUCUUUGAUGUAGAUUGUCUUCAUGAAGCUUGAGUGCCUAGUGCCCCAAGUGUGACACCUCAAAUGGUUCACACAACACCAAAUACACAUGGAAUGACUUGAGAGAAAUUCACACUUCAUGAAAAAUGGCUAGCCCUUCCUAUCACUCAUAGUGGCCGAUUUUCUCCAAGAAUAAGAUGAUUAUAUAGUUAGGGUUACACCAUGUAAACCCUAAUUGUCAUGGCCUUUCAUUUCCAUGAUCCAUGGGUACAAAUACACCAUGGAGCAUCUUAUGGGUUUUAGCCCAACUUGACAAUCCAUGGAGCAUUAGCCCACUAUAUAAGUAUGGAUGAUUUACACAAUCAACCCAUAUAUUUAAUUAGUCUUCUUUUGAUCACUUAAUUAAUCCUAGAUUAAUUCUUGAUCAAUACUAAUUAAAUAAUCUUAUUAUUCUUAUUAUUAAUAUACUAGAACUUAUAAUAUAUUAAUAACCAUAAGUGUCUUAUUUCUCUCAUUAUAGUCUAUCCAAGUGCAUGAUGGUAUGCAACCCAAAUGGACCAUGCCGGGUCGGGUCAAGUCUUACCAAUUAUAGUUAUGGACUUAGACAUUAAUCCAACAGUCUCCCACUUGGAUAAGUCUAAAACUAUUAUUGCGUAUGACUUCAGGAACCAACUGGCAAUCGUAGCUCUCAAAAGCUUCUGUCGAACUCUGACCUUGUAGAUGAACUCUGACCUUUGUCAAUGACUUGUCCAUUAGAUAAGGGAUCAUAUAUUCCUCCAUUCUAGAUAUCAUAUGGACUGAGACAUGGAUUAUAAUCAUUCUCUCUGUCCAUUUGUUGUUUCCCGAUUUCCGAUUUAUGACGACUGACUAAUUGAACAAAUCAAAUCAGUCCUGGCCCGGCCGAGCACUUCCAUUUGUCAUCAUCAAAUCAUCGAGGGGCCCACAGAUAUCGCUUUUAUCCCGAAGGUAAAAGGAAUGGAUAAACUUCGACUCAUAUGGCUUGUUCUACUACUUGUUGAAUCAUACACAAAGGCACGUUUUAUAGCACCGAGUUACCAAAUGCGUUUUCGUGCAAUCAAUGUACUAUCAACUCAUAGUAACAACUCAUAUCUCUAGGUUUGAAGAAUAUAAGAUAUUAUCGUCUCAUGAUCACUCGUGAUAAAAUCCAUGAAGUGAUUCCAAUGAGCGCGGGUUGAAUCCAAUACUCAGAACUUAUGAGCACUCAUGAGUGUUGUAGCCCUUUGUCCAACACCUUAGACCUCUACAAGCCAACCCAUGACAGUCUUAAUUCAUAUCUACUUCCAACAUAUGACCGACUGUGGAUGGUUUGAAUAACUUAGUCAUUCCGGGAGAACUGGAAGUCAAAACAUGCAAAAUGGAACACAAUAAUAAUUGAAUCAUAAUAAUUGAAUCCAAUAUGGUAUCAACCCUUUGAACAUAAAUAAAACACCUUUUAUUUAUCACCAUAUGAUUACACAUUAUUCAUUGUAUACUGUUUCAGCUAUCAACUUUAUUCUUGAAUUUAAAACAAUAGUUGUCCCAUGCUCCAAGCAUGUACACUAUGUUUUCUUAAACACUAGUCAUGCCACACACCAAGUAUGCAUACUAUGUUUGUCUAUGAUCUUUACUUUGUGAACUAGAUCAAUUGAACAUAACUUCAAUGAUUCUCUUUUCACACUCCCAAAUCCUUACUGCAAAUGCAAGAAUUCCAAAUUCAUGCCAUUUACUGAAAUCUGUUAGAUUCUAAACUUAUAUGCAUUGAUCCUCUUGUAAUGAUUAUGCACAAAGUCACAAAGACUUGGCAACAAUCAUUACAGAGUAUUCCAAAGGAGAUCAACUCCUUGGAAAUAUCCUUCUUGCAUUAAGUUUCCUUAAUCUUACACAGAUUGAAAAUUCUAACUUUGAAACAUUUCCAGAUUCCAUUUUGACUAUCACUUCUGAACAAGAGUUGCGUCCUUACAGAUUAUGUUAGUGUGGUCCUUCUAGAGUUAUCACUAUACUUCCAACUGUCCUUGAGCAGCCAAUCUUUGGUAAACCUCAGAUUGUUCUCGACAAUUGUUUAAUCCUUUAAGUCAUAUCCAGUUCUAAACAUUUUCCCUUCUUAAUGCCCCAGGCAUUUGGAAAAUUUUAGAACGGAUGAAUAUAGCACAUGUAAUCGAUCCUAUAUCCGAAGCAUAUGGGACACGAUUCAUGAUGUCUCACAUAAAGACUAAACCAGUCUUUUGCUAUAAUAUUUCCAUUUCAAUUUGCCAAGUUCUCAUAAUUCAGAUUAUGAAAAGGGAUGCCGUAAUCAUAAUCGAAUUUUAGAACGCAAAUAAUGGACCCAUAUACAGAAUUUCCUUAUGUUGAGCCAUUCCAACAUGAAAUUCAUAUAUAUCCUUGACUAAAUGAUUAAAACCUCACGAUCUAAGCUUAUAGAUUUGAGAUGAAGCAUAAUUUCCUCUCCCUUAAUUAUAGCAAAACAACUUUUUCCCAAUUGAAACUUUUGUUUUCUAUAAUUAACAUUGCUAACUUGCAAUACUUAUCAUAAUUAUCAUGCUCCCACUAACAUGAUGAUUAUUAGCAUAACACUUAUGCUCCCACUAGCUUUGACAUGUACUCAGAAAUCAGCUGGACUUCUAGAAAUCAAUACUUCAUUGACUUUCUUACCAAAGUUCAGAUUUCUGAUACUAGAUUGUUUUGAUAAAACUUUAUCAAAAUCAUACACCUUCCCUUAGAUAGCACACUUGUGUGUCUAAACAAUUAUGAAGAGGUAUGCCGUAAUCAUAAUGGUUAGACCUUUUUGCCACUUCUCACAAGUCCAUGUUAGUGUGCCGGUUAACCACACGCGCUCUACUAACGACUUUGAGAGUGCAAAUAUCAUACUUGCUAUCUAGCUAAAAUCUACUUAGUGAAAGUGUUUCCUCACCAUCAUUUUCAUGAAUCGGAGAGAAACCUUAUGCCACUUAGAUUUAAUGGUGUAAGUGUUCUUAUCCAUGUGAAUUGUCAAAACCAUAGUCACAAGACAAGGAUAAUGACAAAUCCAAACUCAUAUGGACUGAACUCAAUCUUAAUUUCUUGCCACCUGGCAGCUCAAGGGCCUGCCAUUGCUUCCAAGUUGUUGUGCAACUAAUUGAGAACUCUAAGAACUCAUAUGCAAAGCCAACUUUAACUGGAAUGGGCACAGAAUAUGUCAACACGAUAGGUUAUAAACCUCAAGUCGUGUGCUAGUGAAGAACUUCAGGUUUUAUUCUUGAUUAGUUCUUGAGACUUUCAAGACCUUUAAGACUCCCACUGUCCUCUUGACCUAUAAGACUCCCUUGUCAAAUAUCCAAGAGAUAGUGUGGAUUCUAAUCAAGACAAACACUUCACACAAUUGGCCUAAGUUGGUCUUUGUUUUAUCCAAAACAUCACAACUUACCAAUUUCAAAUGUACAAGAGUAGAAAACUUUUACUCUUACAUUUGACAAGUGUUUUAAACCUUCUUUAAGACAUGUCACUCAAGUUACAAUCUUGGAGUAUGACUCUAAGACUUGUAUUGGAACGAAGUAUGACUCAUCUUCUUGAUUUAACCACUUCAAAAAUCCAUAGCUCCUCUUCUUAGCUAUCAGAAUGCACUUACACGAUGAAUUGUGAUAAGGUCUCUAAAUCAUUAAGAUGAUCAUAAAAACUGAUACUAAAGUACUCUCCCAUCUUUUCAAAUUUGAGAAACUUUUAUCUUUCUGCCUAAUUUGACUCUUCUUAUUCGUUCUGUCUUACAUUGAAACUUUUCCAAUGUUUCAGAAUUAUACUUAAACUUGUAAGUAUAACCAUAUUUACUUAACUUAAGUAAAUCAUGACGAAUAGUCUUAUCGAUCUUUUGUGGUGGACUUAAUCAGUGCACAAGAAUGUGUAUGUAAUACCCUGUCUAUUUAUUAAAUAAAUAAAUAAAUAAAUGAACAAAUGGUAGCCCUAAAAUAAAUAAUUACAUAUCAAAGGAUGGUCUCGAGGAGCUAAUUGUCACAAGUUUAGAAGAUGGAGGUUAAAAGUGUAAAAUAUGGAUUUAAUUUGUAAGUAUUAAUGAAGUCAAGGACUAAAUUGUAACUUCUUGACUUCAUUUUAAGGGAUUUUAGAGGCUUAGGGGUUGUAUUGUAAAUUAGGGGCUUUAUUUUGUAAGGAAUUAUGGAAGGGAUGGCUAAAGGGUAACUUUUGGAUUUAAAUUGAAAAGGAUAUGGUAAGGAGGGACUAGAGGUGACAAAUUUGUAGAAAGUUUGGAUGGGAUAUAGGACUUUAAACNNNNNNNNNNNNNNNNNNNNNNNNNNNNNNNNNNNNNNNNNNNNNNNNNNNNNNNNNNNNNNNNNNNNNNNNNNNNNNNNNNNNNNNNNNNNNNNNNNNNNNNNNNNNNNNNNNNNNNNNNNNNNNNNNNNNNNNNNNNNNNNNNNNNNNNNNNNNNNNNNNNNNNNNNNNNNNNNNNNNNNNNNNNNNNNNNNNNNNNNNNNNNNNNNNNNNNNNNNNNNNNNNNNNNNNNNNNNNNNNNNNNNNNNNNNNNNNNNNNNNNNNNNNNNNNNNNNNNNNNNNNNNNNNNNNNNNNNNNNNNNNNNNNNNNNNNNNNNNNNNNNNNNNNNNNNNNNNNNNNNNNNNNNNNNNNNNNNNNNNNNNNNNNNNNNNNNNNNNNNNNNNNNNNNNNNNNNNNNNNNNNNNNNNNNNNNNNNNNNNNNNNNNNNNNNNNNNNNNNNNNNNNNNNNNNNNNNNNNNNNAAGUUUUAGGAAGUUGAUCUUAGCAAAUAGAUAAGAUCAUUAAGGGUCUUUUCAUAGUCUGUUUCAUAGGAGUCCCAAAGUAACUCACUAUGUGACUUAGAAAGUAGUUGAGCCACCAACGUUUUAGAGACUUUGACACCCAACUCUCUCGGCUUUUCAAUAUGUGACUACAUCUCCAAGAUGUGAUCACACAUAGACCUUUGAUUGCCAAUAGGGCUUGAGUGACCUUAAACUUUUCAAAAACUUGUGGGUUAUGGAGAAAAAUUGGAGGAGGUGAAAGAAGUAUGAUUUCCAUGGGAUAUCAUCUUCAUUUAGGAAAACUUGUUUCAAGAGAUUUGGGAAGAUCAUAGAUGUCUAAACCAGACAUCUUUUGGGAGAUAUUCAAGAUAGUUGAUUUAAAGUCCUUAAUAUAACACCCAAUAUGAAAUAUUAAGGCUAGGACCCAACACAAUACUUGUAUAACUUGGAAGAGGGAUGUCGUAAUCCAAGCUAUAAAAUAUUUGAAGGUAGGUGAAUGACGAUGUUUCAUUCUAGAAAACGAAAUGUAUUAUUAGGUUUUAAUUGGAUUUGAAACUCCUAGAUCUUUGAGAUUCAUUGAACUUUUCAAUGGCAUGUUUCAAUCUCGAGUGUGCCCUUCAGGUUUUGUGACUGGGAUGCCGAGGAUCACAAAACAAGGUGUGAAGUAACCAUGCAAAUAUACUGGGUACCCUUAAUAUUUACCCCUUAAUCGAUGUGCCGGUUAACCACACACGCUCCACCGAUACUAUGAUAAAUAUUAAGUUACCCUUUGCCUACCUUGUUUAGUCCAAGUUAGUGUGUCGGUUAACCAAACACGCUCCACUAACCGACUCAAACAAAGUGCAAAGUGUAAUUUCAUAGAUUAGCACCUUAUUCAAUUUUUCCUAAGUAACUAAGAUUGGGUAUUUAUAAAAGGUUUAGUUACUUAGUAUUUAUCAUUAAUACUUUUAAUGAAGGGAGAAUUAUAGUCCUUGUCCUACCCGUUCGGCUAACGACCCUCCACCAGUCAAGGAAGCGGUGGGUGAGAGUGGACACCCAUUAAACUGCCAUUUUAUAGGCAGUAACCUUAUACCCCCCUUAUAGACCGGCUUCGUGAAUGAGGCCUACUAACGGUAAGACUGACUUUACUCUUAUACAUAUAUAUAAAUAUUAUUAACUUAUAAUAUUAUAAAGUAUAAGGGUUGAAUUUUAACUUUUAAAAUUCUAAGGGCUAACUUGGAAUUAAAGUAUUCAUAAGUGAAAACUUUUCAAAUUCCAAAACUUGAGGGCAAGUUUUGAAACUAUUCAAAACUAAUUAAUUCCAUAACUUAUGUGUUUAAAGUAGUUUUAAUCCAAAAACUCUUCAAGUUCCAUAACUUGAGGACAAGUUAUGGAAGACUUUAAACUAAUAAAAGAAUUAACUUUUUCUUUAUUUUAUAACUUAUGGAUUUAAUUAUGGUUACAUAUUUUUCUUUAAAUGAAGUGACUCUUGAACUUCCAUAACUUGAGGACAAGUUAUGGAGUCAUAAAAAAAUAUUCAAUGACACAAGACUCUUCAUUUUGUAACCAUUGCCAACUUUUAUGAAUUUUAUGAGUCUUUAAUGUGACUCUUCAUGUAACUUGAGGACAAGUUACACAAACACAUUUUAUACUCAACUCUUAGAUUAAAAUGGAUUGAAAACAACUAUUUCAAUUAACUUUUCUAUUAAUCUAAGCAACUCAUAAGAACAAGAUAAUUCAAAUCAAACUUUUUCAUGUAAUUAGUCUAAACCUUAAACUAAUACAAAACAUGAAUCUAUUGACAAUUAUCUUUGAAAAUGGAUUAGCAUGAACAUUACCACAUCAAAAACAAGUUUAUAAGUUCAAAAACAACUUAGGGUAAUGUUCCUAGUCCAUUUCUAGCCAAAAAACUCGAAAAUAUGCUGUCUGGGGGUCCAACUCGUCGAGUGCAUGAACCAACUCGGCGAGUUGGAUCGAAUUGAUCACUUUUUAGGCAUGGACUCGCCGAGUCUCCUGAUGGACUCGCCGAGUCUGAUGAUCAGACAGCACCAAAUUCGUUUUUUCAGCUUCU